AUGUCUGCACCGCACAACCCCACAAACCUUCCCAGGGCUCCCGCACAUCUCAGGCUGGGGGCAGAGGGAGCAACAGGUGAUUGUCCCGAAACCCGGCCAGCCUCUUCCCUGUCACACCUCACCCAGGGCGGAAAAAUCCUCCUGGAGGGGGUGAGAAGCACGGCGCUGCUCCCAGCUGAGAGCAAAAUCCACAAACAUCCUCGGCAAGGAGGAUUCAGACAUUCCCAGUUAAUGGGGAGCCAGCCGGCCAUCCCCAGGGAAUGCCGGCGAGGCAGGAGAAUGCGGACAGGGGACACUUUGCAAACCCCAGCAGGGCAGAACCAGAGCCCAGGGCUGAGCUGGUGGGGUCCCCAUCACCCCUCUCUGCUGCUCCCCAGGGACCUGCUCCUUUUCGGGGGUCCCCUCCAGCUCUCGGCAGCUCCCCGUGCUGGGUGUCCCCGAGGUGCCUCUGUCCCCCCAGGCCACCACCAGCGAAAAACUUACCGGGGCUGGGCUCAGAGAGGGGACUGCACGGACAUCCUGGCUCCCUCCUUCCACCUCGGGUCCCCAACUUGCUGUUUGCAGAGCGGUGUCACCAGUGCCUCCCGGAGCCUGGCUCAUCCUCCUCCUCUGUGUCUCGCUUCAGAAAUCUCUGUGUGUGUGGUGGUUGGUUUGUUGGGGUUUUUUUGGUUGUUUUUUUUUUUUUUUUCAUUUAAGGGACUUUUUUUUUUUUUUUUUUUUUUUUUUUUUUCUUCCCCCAGCGGUUGCGUCAGGGCUGUUGCCUGGAGACAGGCGAGCUAUUCCAGUUUGAGCUUUUCAGCGCCGAUUCCUCUCUCUCUUUCAUUCAUACCACCAAGCCCUGGACCUACCUCCCACCAAGCAAUAACCCUGGAGAGACCUGAAAGGGAGGAGCUGCACAGCCUGGGUCCUAAACAUCCUCCGGCACCCCGGAGAGGAAGAUCAGCGAUGCUUUCGGCGUGGAGAGCAGGGAUGGAGCGCUCCAGGGCAGGGAAGGUACCCUCAAGGCUUGCCGGAGAUGCCCGGAGAGCUGCUGCUCUCCCGAAGGAGUCUGUGGUCCUUCCCGGCACCAACCUGCUGGUGUCCCCAUGCUGA
rnacentral:lncRNA from 1 species